rnacentral:rRNA from 1 species
UCCCCUGUUUAACAAAACCGCUGUUUUUUUGAUUUGAAAUAUAAAGUUUGACCUGCCCACUGAUUAAAUUUGAAGGGCCGCGGUAUUUUGACCGUGCAAAGGUAGCAUAAUCCUUAGUCUUUUAAUUGAAGGCUGGUAUGAAUGGUUUAACGAAGUAUUAACUGUCCCAUUAUAAUUUUUUGAAUUUAACUUUUUAGUCAAAAGGCUAAAAUGAAAUUUUAGGACGAGAAGACCCUAUAGAGCUUUCAUAUAUAUAUUUAAUAAUUCAUUUUUAGUUGUUUUUGUUGAUUUUUAGGUAUAUUUAUUUGGUUGGGGUGACUUGAAGAUUUAAUAAACUCUUUAUUUGUAAAGACAUAAAUUUAUGGGAGAUUGAUCCAUUAUUAAUGAUUAAAAGAUUAAGUUCCCUUAGGGAAGCGGCGUAA